UACGUAGGGUGCAAGCGUUAAUCGGAAUACUGGGCGUAAAGCGUGCGCAGGCGGUGAUGUAAGACAGUUGUGAAAUCCCGGGCUCAACCUGGGAACUGCAUCUGUGACUGCAUCGCUGGAGUGCGGCAGAGGGGAUGGAAUUCCGCGUGUAGCAGUGAAAUGCGUAGAUAUGCGGAGGAACACCGAUGGACGAAGGACAAUCCCCGUGGGCCUGCACUGACGCUCAUGCACGAAAGCGUGGGAGCAAACAGG
rnacentral:rRNA from 1 species